CUUGUUUCUAUUAUUAUUCAUAUUGGACUUCCUUUGCGUGUCUUGUUAAAUGUUUGUUAAACUAUCCCUUUAAUGUUUUCCCAGGUAGAAAUGAAUCUCCUCCAGGAAAUGUUUGUAUUUGUGCUGCAUGGUUGUAUUUUUCCACAGGGUUCAUGUUGGUCUUUGUCUGCAGGGGGGGAGGAUUCUGGAUCAUAUCCAGGUCAGUGCAGGUAGGUGUAAGCUAGUCAAACCCAUACGCCUCUAUCCUAAUCCAUCUGUUAGUAUCUACCUUCAGUCAAAACUUUCUUAAUGCUCUUAUCGUCCUUUACCACAAACACACAGUUCAUGUCGUCCUCCAUUGAAGCCAUAACUUCAGGUAUAUUCAGGUGAUAACAGUAUUGAGUAAAUACUGUUUGUCUUUUCCCAGCAUUCCUCAGAUGCUCCGCCUCAGGACUUGGAGAUUGUCACACACACACACACACACACACACACACACACACACACACACACACACACACACACACACACACACACACACACACACACACUGCUGAGGGCGGAUGUGUUUGAAGUGCUGUGGGUCGGGGAGGGGAUGUUUGGGGUUGACAGCGGACUAAAGGGGGGUGUGUGUGAGGCAGGUACCUACAUGUCCCCUUCUCUUUGUCUCCUUCAAUAAGACACUUCAAACCACACGCACUCCUGGUGGGCCCUCUCCCUCUUCACCUCUCCCUCUCUUUUGUUCCGCUCACCAGUUCUGCUUUUGGUCGCCUAAGGAAAAGAUCAGAGCCUGAGGGUCCUGAUGUCUGUGGAUGAUUCUGUCCGAUCGUCCCUCGUCUCUCCUCUGAUCGCCUAAAAUUUCAUCAGGAAAUGUCUUCAUUAACCUAGAAACUAUUACUAACACUGAACACUCCCUCUCCUCCUACAUGUAUUGACCCUCACCAAGACCGUUUUUGGUUUUAAAUCACACAGAUAAUCUCCUAAAGUGACGCACAUGUGUGAAAGCAUGUGACUGAAAAAAUUCAAGGGUUCUAUUAGUGGGUCUAUAAUGUAAUGUACUUUAAACGUCUUAUGCCUUGACCAGACCUUUCAUUCACUUAAUUCCUCCAUUUACUUUCCUCUCUUUCUUUCACCUCCUCUCCCUUCAUGGACCUCGCCUACUUUGAAGUCGGCUGGCGUCUAAAAAGGACAAAGAGACACAGAGAGACGAGCCUGGCUGCCUCUGAAGACGGACAAAAGGAUGAGCAGGAG